rnacentral:tRNA from 1 species
GGUUUGGUGGUCUAGUGGUAUGAUUCUCGCUUAGGGUCCACCCUAUGCUAUAGCAUGCGAGAGGUCCCGGGUUCAAUCCCCGGCCAAACCC